rnacentral:lncRNA from 1 species
UACAAUUUUAAUAUUUACUAAAGUCAUCAAUGAGUAGUUUUCAACUUGUCAAGAAUUGGUCUAUCUAUCAAUUGCUUAUAACAAGAUACCUCUCUCGGUUUUUUGUAUGUAGCUCUUGUUGGGAUUGUAGACAUAUUUAUUUAGAUCAAUUUAGGCAAUAAAAUGAGUAAGAUUUUAGUUUAUGAUUUGAUUAAUCAGUCCAUCGAAUGAUCUAGAUUUUAGUAAGAAUAAGUUUUGUUAAUAACUAAAACUAUAUCUUGGUAAAAAAAAUCUUUGUUUCGUGAAGAGAUACCAAGGUUCAAAGACCCAUAAUGAUAUAUUUAUUAUUUAUUAUUUAUUUUAUAAGUUCAUCUUUUGAUUAGUUAGUCCAUCAAAUGAUCUAGAUUUUAAUAAGAAUAAGUUAUGUUACUAAUUAAAACUAUAUCUUGGUAAAAAAAAUAUUUGUUUCGUGAAGAGAUACUAAGGUUCAAAGAUCUGUAAUAUUAUAUAUAUUAUUUAUUAUUUAUUUUAUGAGGAAAAACACCAAUAAAAAAUAGAGAAAAAACAUGUUUGGAAACAGGAAAAACAAGCAAAAAAACAGAAACAAAAAAAAAAUGCAAAGAGAUUACAGAGUCGAGCCUGGUUAUGGACUUAUGGUCGGUCUGGAGUCCUUUUUUUAUCUCGUUUCCAUUUCUUGUCCUGCUUCGUCUUUGUUCUUUUUCCCGUACGUUGGCAAAUGGCAAUAGGAAGGUGUCACACCGUCUCUUAGGAAGGUGCCACAUCGUCUCUUUUGGACGGUGUAUGUCCGUGAGUUUCCUAUCCCAUUUAUUUUUUUUUUGUUUUUUAUUUCAGGGUAAUGACGUAACUAUAUUUGACAUAGUUAGAUGUAUAGAUAUUUUGUAAAUAAAAACAGGUUAGAACUCGUCGCUAGGAAAAAAAUAAUACGAAUAGAACCCCGACUGGAAUAGAAAAAUAUAUACAAGCAUACUGGAGUGCAAGAAAAAGAGGUGGAAAAAAUCUUAGCAGAAAUUUUGCUUCUUUAUUAUUAUUAGGUAUAGAUUUAUGGUACUCUAGAUAUAAAUAUUUAGAUAUAUUUAUAGUUGACAUGGAAAAAAUAUAGACAUGUCAAACCAGAUUAUAUAAAAAUAUAGACAUGUCAAACAUUUUUUUCAUGUUUCAUAAGUUAUUAAAAUAAAUAUUUAUCCUAAUAUAUACAUGUUUAUUUGAUAUACAUGAUGGAACAUAACAUUAUAUAGUUGUUUUAUUUCAUGAUUAUAGAAGUAUGCAAUUUAGAAAUAUAUAUGUAUCAUACUUUAUGGAUAUUGAUUUAUUUUUUGAACUAAUAUAUAUUGCUAUUUGCAUGUAGAUUUUUUGAUAUUUUUGUUUAUUUUUAUAAUGGCUAAGGUACAUACAAAUAUAACGGUAAUAACUUACUUUAUCUUUCGCAACAACAUAUAUGGAUAUGUUAAAUGACAACUUAGAAUAUCACUUUGCAUUAUCUUUCAUAAUGAUAAACGUGAUUAAUUUAUAAAAUCAUAGGAGGUAUUUUUAAUUAUCUUUGAUAAUGAUAGAAGUAAGUAAUUUAGAUACAAAGUUAGAGAGUUGUUUUUAGAUUAUCUCUUUUAUAAUGACAAAGCUGAAUAGUUUAGACACAAUAUUAGGGUGGUUAUUUUAAAUUAUGUUUCAUAAUAGCCAAGGUGAGUAAUUUAGAUACAAAUUUAGGGGUUACUUUAAAUUAUUUUUUGUAGUGACAAAUGUUAAUAAUAUACAUAUGAAUAUAGGGGGUUAUUUUGAAUUAUCUUUUGUAAUGGUAGAGGUGGGUAACUUACAUGCAAAAUCAGGGGGUUACUUUAUGUGUUUUCGUAAUGGCAGUGAUAGGUAAUUUUUAUUUAACUACAAUACAUCCAGUGGCUAUAAUCGACUAUGAUGACUAGAGUCUGCCAAAUCAAAGGCUAUAAUCCAAUUAGAAUUUUUUCAGCUUAAUUAGUCCAUGAUUGGACUCAAAUAAAACAAAAAUGCUACAAUACCCGUUAAACUUUAACAACCCAAACCAAACACUCCCUAAGUGAACCUGUUGUAGAGAAAAGGUACCAGUCAGAGACAGGCUUCAGAUAAGAUUCUUUGACAAUUAAUAUGUCAGGCUUCUAUAUGUACAAACCUCCACCAUCUGUUCCAAUUGCGACUGAGCAUAAUCGUGAUGAUACUAAUGCAUCUUGUCACUCAACUGCUGGAUAAUAAGAACAAAAAUCCAGAAACUAUUAUACUAAUUCCUACAAUAAUCCAUUUAGGAGUUCUGGUCAGUAGCAACAAUCUUAAUUGCAAGUAUACCUAAAGCAUUUGAAAACAAAUAAAAUAUAUCCCUACAUACAUUCUAUAGAUAGAUCUCGCACAGCUUGCUGGACUUACUUCACAUAAGUUAGUGGCAUAUUACUUUAGAUUAAAAGUUUAGAUUUACUGACCAAAAGGUAAAAACACCAGAACGAGGCAUGAACUCAGAGACAUGAACUCAAAUUUCUAAAUCGUCAGAUGCAAUGACCGCAACCUCGUCCUCCUCGGAGCUGGCGCCUCAUGUGGCCUCCCGAGCCUGCGACGCUGCCGGCGCCACCUCCGAUGCCCGUGCCGCCGCCUCCUCGAGUCCUCGAGCCCGCGCUGCCCCAGCCUCAUGGUGGCUGCGCGACGUGGUGAGGGCGCGGCCAUGGACAAAGACUGCCGCCGCGUCCUCAUAUCCCUCCUUAGAGCUGGCGCCAUGGCCCAUGCGUCGUCCAGACCAUGCGCCCCCGCCGCGGCCUCAACAGAUCAAGACGGAGCAGGGCGUCGGCAGUCUGUGCUCAGCGCUUGCCUCCAUUUUGUGGGGAACAGGCGGAGUAUAGAUGGGGAGGAGGAAGAGGAUGGUGGUGCGGGCAGCCGGAGGGGGUGACUAGCGGGGGGAGCUAGCGGCCGGCGGGGCAGGCAACCAGCAAGGGCGCGUGCGUGUGCGUAGAGGCAGCAGACAGAAGGCUGAGAGGAACUUGAGGAGGUGAAAAGUUUUUUUUUACUGUAGUACUUUUAUUUAUAUUUUGUAAUUAUUGUUUAACUAUGAACUAACUAGGCUCAAAAGAUUCGUCUUACAAAUUACAGACAAACUGUGUAAUUAGUUAUUUUUUUAUCCAUAUUUAAUGUUUUAUUCAUGUGUCGUAAGAUUUGAUGUGAC